rnacentral:rRNA from 1 species
AUACGUAGGUGACAAGCGUUAUCCGGAUUUACUGGGCGUAAAGGGCGUGUAGGCGGUCUUGCAAGUCAGAAGUGAAAUUCCUGAGCUCAACUCGGGCGCUGCUUCUGAAACUGCAGGACUUGAGUGCUGGAGGGGAUAGCGGAAUUCCUAGUGGAGCGGUGAAAUGCGUAGAUAUCAGGAGGAACACCGGUGGCGAAGGCGGCUUACUGGGCUUUUACUGACGCUGAGGCUCGAAAGCGUGGGGAGCAAACAGGAUUAGAUACCCUGGUAGUCCACGCUGUAAACGAUGAUUACUAGGUGUGGGGGGACUGACCCCCUCCGUGCCGCAGUUAACACAAUAAGUAUUCCACCUGGGGAGUACGAUCGCAAGAUUGAAACUCAAAGGAAUUGACGGGG